rnacentral:rRNA from 1 species
GAUUUCUGGCUUGAUACAUUUUGCCGGCCACGGUUUCGUGUGUUAGUGCAAGAUGUUCUGGCCAUCCUUCCAAUCGCUACUCAUCUGUCUUCAUUGAUAGGUGAGUGGUAUUGGAUCUUUUACUUUGAAAAAAUUAGAGUGUUUCAAGCAGGCGUUUUGCUAUGAAUACAUUAGCAUGGAAUAAUGAGUUAGGACUUCGGUUCUAUUUUGUUGGUUUCUAGGACUGAAGUAAUGAUUGAUAGGGAUAGUUGGGGGUGCUAGUAUUCAGCGGCCAGAGGUGAAAUUCUUGGAUUCGCUGAAGACUAACUUAUGCGAAAGCAUU